UACGUAGGGUGCAAGCGUUGUCCGGAAUUAUUGGGCGUAAAGAGCUCGUAGGCGGUUUGUCGCGUCGGCUGUGAAAACCUAGGGCUCAACCCUGGGCUUGCAGCCGAUACGGGCAAACUAGAAUUCGGUAGGGGAGACUGGAAUUCCUGGUGUAGCGGUGAAAUGCGCAGAUAUCAGGAGGAACACCGGUGGCGAAGGCGGAUCUCUGGGCCAUUACUGACGCUGAGGAGCGAAAGCGUGGGGAGCGAACAGG
rnacentral:rRNA from 1 species